UCCGAUAUGGUGUAACGGUGAGCAUCGCCGGUUUUCAUGAUCUCGGCAGAUCGGGGUUCGAUUCCCCGUAUCGGAG